rnacentral:rRNA from 1 species
GACGUAGGGGGCAAGCGUUGUUCGGAAUUACUGGGCGUAAAGGGCUCGUAGGUGGCCAACUAAGUCAGACGUGAAAUCCCUCGGCUUAACCGGGGAACUGCGUCUGAUACUGGAUGGCUUGAGUUCGGGAGAGGGAUGCGGAAUUCCAGGUGUAGCGGUGAAAUGCGUAGAUAUCUGGAGGAACACCGGUGGCGAAGGCGGCAUCCUGGACCGACACUGACGCUGAGGAGCGAAAGCCAGGGGAGCAAACGGG